GAAGAAAAGACUUUGGUGAGACCAAAGCCACUGCUUUUAAAAUUGUUUAAAAUUUUACAAUUAGUACACAAAAGGGAUUUAUACUAUGAAUAAAGACUUCUUGGGCAUUUAUGGAUCAUAAGUUAAGAACUUCUGCACUAGAGAUAUAUAGAGUACAGUACAGAAUACAGUACACAGAUCUUUCUGGGACAGAAGCUGUAUUUUAGUUUGGUCAGUAUCUUAUGGCUAAACUGUUAUGUGAAUGAGAAGCACCAGCAUAUUGUAUAGUGUUCCAGUAAUCUUCUAGGGGGUUGGUUUGGCAUGCCAGCUUUCUCUGAAAGAGCACAAGAUAUACAAUGAUCUAUAGAAACUUGGUGUUAGUCAUUCCACAGGAAUCAUUGGAUUCAGGCACAGCUUGACGAUAGAGUGAUCAAAGGGACCCUGAGUAAGAGCUAAAGGAAGAGAAACCUUUGUCUUCAAAUUGGACUUUUAGACCAUGUAACUCAUCUAGAAUGAGAGCAAUUAAUCAGUGAGGCAAGGAAUACUAACAUGAUUAAGAACUUAGAUCCAAGAACUUGUGACAUGAACACAGAAAUACUUACAGUAUAGGUCAUAGAAGUAUUUUGGAAAUUCAGAGAAAAAAAGAGAUGACUUCUGACUAGAUGAAAAUUCAGAUUAAUUAUCCAGCAAAUGACAAAGUGCCACAAUUCUGAUGGUACUUCUCUUUCCUUUAAUGAAAGGUUUGCUUUAUGGGUAAUACAGGCUGAGUAUUUCUUAUUCUAAAUGCUUGGGACCAGAAGUGUUUGGACAAGAAAUGAAUCCUGCCAGGCCAAGGCAGGCGGAUCACUUGAGGUCAGGAGUUCGAGACCAGUUUGGAUAAUAUGGUGAAACCUCAUCUCUACUUAAAAAUAAAAAUAGCUGUGCAUGGUGGCACAUGCCUGUAAUCUCAGGUACUUGGGAGGAUGAGGCAGGAGAAUGACUUGAACCCAGGAGGUGGAGGUUGCAGUGAGCUGAGAUGGUGCACCAUUGCACUCCAGCCUGGGCAACAGGGUGAGACACUAUCUCGAAAAGGAAAAAAAAGAAAUGUAUCCUCCCCUUCUAGCCCAUUUCUCCAAUGAGCGUUUCCCUGAGUGUCAUGGUGGUGCUCAAAAAAUUUUGGAUUUGGGAGCAUUUCAGAUUUUUGGGUUAGGGAUAUACAACCUGUAAGAGAAAUAUGUUGUGAAAGCAGCAGUAGCAGUGAAUUGACAGAGAUGCAUCAAAUCCGGAUCUUAAUACUGGUUUAAGUGAGCAUUCAGGUGACUGGUGGGAUCAGGAUUCAGUUUCAGAUCAAUUAAUUGCAGAAUUUGAAUUUGAGUCUCUCGGAGUUUACAGCCUUAAUGUAGAACAACAAGAAUUCUCAGAUGAAGGUGAUGAGGUGUGUCCAGUUACUGAUUAUUAGACAUGGGGAGAGUGGUACAGAUUCAUUUGAUGAAGGUCCUAAAAUUGCCUUAGCUGCCUUGGACAUGUACUUUAUUAAAUGAAAUUAAUCCUCCUCUUCUAGGCCAUUUCAACAGAUGUUGGGCCCUUUGUGAGAACUGACUUCCUGAAGACAAAGUGAUAGAGGGAAAAUAAGCUCAACCUGAGUAGAAGGGGCUUUGAUGCUCCUGAUUAUAAAACCAAACAAAAAACCUAUAGUGAAUUACUCCAAAGAGUAAUAUGUUCAUGUGUGGAGGAAAAUGAUGAGAGAACUCACAUCAGCCUCCCAUUCCCAAGAGACCGAGCACUGUUGUCAGCCAGCAACUUCUAAUAGCAUCAUUUAGAGCUGCCAAGAAAAUGUCAAAGACCUUGAGUGGAAAGAAACAAACAAGAAAGAAGAAAGUGUGAAUCUAGUUUUCUCCUUAAUGCCAUUGAACUUUGUGUGCUUUAAAGCAUACAACCUAAAAAUGGUUGCAUCAGCCAUGGCAAUAAAGGACAUCUAAUGGAAUGUUUUACAUGUGCAAAAAAGCUAAAAAAGAGAUGA
rnacentral:lncRNA from 10 species